rnacentral:siRNA from 1 species
UGGGAUGACAUUUGUGGAUUUUGC